GUGAACGCUGGCGGUAGGCCUAACACAUGCAAGUCGAACGGCAGCACAGUAAGAGCUUGCUCUUACGGGUGGCGAGUGGCGGACGGGUGAGGAAUACAUCGGAAUCUACUUUUUCGUGGGGGAUAACGUAGGGAAGCUUACGCUAAUACCGCAUACGACCUACGGGUGAAAGCAGGGGAUCUUCGGACCUUGCGCGAUUGAAUGAGCCGAUGUCGGAUUAGCUAGUUGGCGGGGUAAAGGCCCACCAAGGCGACGAUCCGUAGCUGGUCUGAGAGGAUGAUCAGCCACACUGGAACUGAGACACGGUCCAGACUCCUACGGGAGGCAGCAGUGGGGAAUAUUGGACAAUGGGCGCAAGCCUGAUCCAGCCAUACCGCGUGGGUGAAGAAGGCCUUCGGGUUGUAAAGCCCUUUUGUUGGGAAAGAAAAGCAGCAGGUUAAUACCCCGCUGUUCUGACGGUACCCAAAGAAUAAGCACCGGCUAACUUCGUG
rnacentral:rRNA from 1 species